AAUAAAGCUAGUAACAAUUCUUCCUUAUUUGUUAGUUUAAAUACAUAUAUAGAAGCCUUGAUUCUUUAAGACACAUGUUUGAAAAUACAGACAGAUCUGUACAAAAUUUGAGAUACACGUAUAAACAAUUCAAGCGUGUACAGGUAUGUAAUUUUCCAUCUAUAAGUUGUUGCGGGUUUACAUGUACACACACAAGUGAGGUAUGCACACGGGUAUCCAGUGCGCAUGUCAGAGCCGGUAUCCUGCGUUAAAAUCGCGGUCGCAUAGUAGCGAACAAUUAGUAAAAAGAAUUCUUGAAAAUAUUGAUUAAAAAAAAGUAAAGAAAUCUGAUGAAUAAUUCUUUAGAAAUGUAACUUUAUUUAAUAUCGUAAACGUAAUAGAUAUUUUUUAGUAAAUUUGUCAACGAAGAUGCAAAAUAAAAACUUCCGUUUCAGAAUGUAUAAAGAUGUAUAUUUAUAUAUAUCUUUAACCUCAGUCUCAUUAUACAUUCAAUCUAAAAUGCAUAUAUAACCAACGCAUAUGUAAAUACUUAUGCAUGUGUAAAACGUGUUUCACUCGAUAGUGUUAAUUUUAAAACGAAAACUGUGCGAUCUAUGUAUAUCGAACUGGUCUGUAAUACACCUUUUGUUUUUAACAGUCGUAGAAAAACAAAUUUCGAUCUUCCUGUACAUUAGUUUAAUCAUUUCUAUUCUCAAUUGUAUACUAAUCCUGAGAGUACUCACUCUAAUUUGUUUCGUCUGCGCAUGCGCGUGCCCGUGUAUUCCUGCGUUAUCCGCGCGUUUCUCGGUAAAUCGCGGUCACAAAGUCAGCAGAGCGGAUGCGCAUGCGCGGAUAACAUCGCAACGCGUGGCUUGAGAACGUUAGUCUUUGCUUGUCCACCGCGUCGUGUUGACGCAUGUGCUCUCUGUCUUUUCCUACUUCUCUGUUAUCUUUUUCUCUCUUCGGUCCUACGGCAAUUGGUGAAAGAUUCGCCCUUCGCAAAAUGGCGGCGCAAGCUACCACCAGAAGAAGACUCAAUGAACACGAGGAGAAAACGAACAGCAGAAAUGGGUUAACCUUUCACGGAGACUUCCUAGCUAAUGGUCAUGCCGGUUUACAAAGAAAUGGACGUGUACAGUUUACAGAAAAAGAAACAAAGGCAGAACCGACAAAGUCAAGGUCGAAGGAAUCGUUCGAGAGAGUACCGUUUAUCACGGCGGCAUUGACACACCUUGGUUUUUACAUCCUUAUGUUUCUGGGCUUUAUAAAUCAAUUGUUUUUUACACCGAAAGUUGCGAAAGAAUACAACAGAGAGGGUUACGCACCUCUAUACGAAAAUUUCGAAAGGUUCUAUCUUCGAUAUGUGUACAGAAGAGUGAGAGAUUGCUGGAACAGGCCUAUAUGCUCUGUUCCAGGUUCCACUGUUACGCUUAAAGACAGAAUAACAACGGAUUAUGGAUGGACAUUCCAGUUCACCGGGACAACCAGAAAUUGUAUAAAUUUGGGAUCGUACAACUACCUGGGUUUCGCCGAGGCGACUGGCAAGUGCGCUGAUCAAAGUAUCGAGACUCUGAAAAAAUUUGGUUGUGCUAGUUGUAGUACUCGUCUCGAACUUGGAAACAUGCCCAUUCACGAAGAAUUGGAAACACUGACAGCCAGGUUUCUAGGAGUAGAGGAUGCGAUCGUUUUUGGGAUGGGAUUUGCAACAAAUUCUCUUAAUUUACCUUCGUUAAUAAAUGAAGAUUGCUUAGUAAUCAGCGACGAAAAAAAUCAUGCUUCGUUGAUACUUGGAUUGAGGCUGUCUGGUGCCACUAUUAGAGUGUUCAAGCACAACAAUGUAAAACAUUUAGAGAGUUGCCUGAAAACUGCAAUAGUUUUUGGUCAGCCAGGAUCAGGAAAACCUUGGAAGAAAAUAUUAAUCGUAGUAGAAGGUAUUUAUUCCAUGGAAGGUACCAUUGUCAACUUGCCUCAAAUUUUGGAGCUCAAAAAAAAGUACAAAGCAUAUAUUUAUUUGGACGAAGCGCACAGCACCGGUGCAAUGGGAAAACAUGGAAGAGGUGUUUGCGACUAUUAUGGAAUUGAUCCACGGAACGUGGACAUACUAAUGGGAACUUUCACGAAAAGCUUUGGAUCUGCUGGUGGAUAUAUUGCUGGAACAAAGACACUCAUAAAUCAUUUAAGGAUAUACGGCCACGCUCAUUCCUACGCAGUGGCUAUGUCUCCACCAAUAGCACAACAAAUUAUUACUUCUAUGAGAAUAAUUGCCGGUGAAGAUGGUACGGACGACGGAAGGAAGAGAACGAAACAGCUAGCGAGAAACACCAGGUACUUCAGGCGCAGACUCAACCAGAUCGGAGUUAUUAUUUAUGGAAACGAAGAUUCGCCUGUUGUACCUAUGCUGGUGUAUUUGUUUUCUAAAAUUGGUUGUGCGAACCCUCACAACACAUAACAUAGCUGCGGUCGGUGUUGGAUUUCCAGCGACUCCCUUGAUGGAAGGGAGAAUACGAUUUUGUCUUUCUGCCGCACACACUAAACAGCAGCUCGAUUAUGUGCUGUCACACAUCGAAAGUCUUGCAGAUUUUCUAGGUUUAAGAUAUUCUCGUAAAGUUCGUGAUUUGACACCUAUAGAGUACUAUUCCGAUGGAGAGACCGAAUGACCUACUACCUAAAAAGUGAAUAACCUAGGACGUUCACUUUACUCCAAAGAAGCGCCUUAUACUUCUGUGGAGAGACACUGCCUUGGAAGAACACUACACGCAUUCUUCUUUUUUAUGUUAUUUCAUUGAUCCAAAAGUUACACUUCUCAAUCAAAGUACAUCACAAAAUAUUAAGAUAUCGAUAAGUAUAGUCGACGAGAGUCUUUUUAUUGUUAUUCAAUAUCAAAUCAAGAGAUUAGCGAUCUCGUAGAUGAAACUGCUUCUUCUUCUUCUUCUUCUUCUUCUUCUUGUUCGGUAUGUAAAAUGAUAAUAGAAGUUCAACAUGAGCCGAUAGUGUUCCAAGGUUUCUAGAACAGUGCACA